AAAGGUCGUAACAAGGUCUCCGUUGGUGAACCAGCGGAGGGAUCAUUACUGAGUUCUACACUCUCUACCCUUUGUGAACUAUUAUACCUGUUGCUUCGGCGGCGCCCGCAAGGGUGCCCGCCGGUCUCAUCAGAAUCUCUGUUUUCGAACCCGACGAUACUUCUGAGUGUUCUUAGCGAACUGUCAAAACUUUUAACAACGGAUCUCUUGGCUCCAGCAUCGAUGAAGAACGCAGCGAAACGCGAUAUGUAAUGUGAAUUGCAGAAUUCAGUGAAUCAUCGAAUCUUUGAACGCACAUGGCGCCUUCCAGUAUCCUGGGAGGCAUGCCUGUCCGAGCGUCGUUUCAACCCUCGAGCCCCUGUGGCCCGGCGUUGGGGAUCUGCCACGGCAGGCCCCUAAAACCAGUGGCGGACCCGAAGGGCCCUCUCCUUUGCGCAGUAGCAUUCGCCUCGCAUUGGGAGUCCUCGGCGUCCUGCCUCUAAACCCCCCACAAGUCCGCUUCGGCGGCACCAAGGUUGACCUCGGAUCAGGUAGGAAUACCCGCUGAACUUAAGCAUAUCAAUAA
rnacentral:rRNA from 1 species